GGGCCCAGGAAGGGCAGAAGUCCCUGGCUAAGCUCCUCUCUGGAAAGAACAGAAGAGUGACCAGUUCCUCUGUCAGUUUGGUCUCAAUGGCAGAGGCCGGUUCCUUUAAGCUGCAGUCCGUAAAGGGUCUUGGAACGACUGGGGGCCAGGAUUCUCUGAGGGCGGGAAUCCGGGCGGCCGUCAGCUCUCGGUGGUGAUCGAGGCCACGCUCCGCCUGUCUCUGGGCGUGCAUACCUCGGUUUCCCCGUUUGUGACGUGGGAAGGCAAUUAGUCUGGACAUUGUUGUGGGAGGACUUGCGGAGACUGGGCGCAGGGCGUGGGGGUCAGUGAGGGCGCGGUGGGUCAGCCCCAGCCCGGCUGGCAGUCGCGGGGCUGGGAAGGUAGGGAACCCUCCGCUCUCACCCCACUUCCUGUUUGGUCGGUGUGUUCUGUGACCAUAGAUGGUCAAGUCUGGGGCCGCGCGGAAGCCUCCGCCCUGUGGUUUUGGAGCCCUUCCUCCCGGCGCGCAGGGUGUGGUCCCCGAGAAUAAGAUGAGCAGAAUUAAAGCAGAUCCUGCACCCACUCUGCUGAAAUCCGGCUUCUGAGGCAGCCUCGCCCAGGGCUGGGUGGGCUCAGGCGGCUGCUACUCGGUUCAGGGGAGGUUACGCACGGUGGCUGCCGCGCGCAGGGGAGGCUUCGCUUCCGUACUCCUUGGGCCGGGAGAUCCGAUCUUUGUUCCCUCAAGACUCACACUCUCCAACCGGUCAUUAUCCUCCCACAAAGAUUUAUUUCUAGAAAAAAUUGGCAAGUGCCACAGUUCCCGCCCCUUCAGCUGAACGACUGUGACAGCUCCGUGUUUCAAGUUGAAUGCAGGCGUUAUGUGCCAGAGUCAAUCAUUCAACAAAUAAAGUUCUUAAAAUAACAGCUACCAUUUACUGCACGCUGACUACUUGCCAGGCCCAUGCUGAGUUCUUCAAGCGUAUUUUCAUUUACUCCUAAUAGCAACUCUCGGUGAGACAGAAGGAACAUAGACCAUACACGCAUUCUAGAGGAAGAGGAGAGAGAAGAGGAAGCAGGAAGGAGAAUGAAGAAAGUUUCCUCAUCAGCACAACUAGGGAUCCAGCAGUGGACAAGUCAGACCCUGUUACUGCUCUCAUGGAGCUUACAGUCUAUUUUGGAAAUGAUAUUUCCAUUUGGAGUGGUCAUCAGAAGAUACGCUGCCUUCUGUCUUCCAGCUUUUUCCUCCUCGCUGAUCUUGCCCCUUGUCCAGUACCCAGUGCUUCAUCCAUGUCUCUCUUGCAGAUAACUAUGGCCGUGUGCCUGAGAUCUGGCCAAUGGAAUCGUGGACAGUUCUCCAUGCUCUUUCUCCUUCUGUGGCAACUCUGAAUGUCGUGUGUUCAAGAUGAAGACAGAAGAUAGAAUGACCUUGGGUCUCUGAAUCAUUGCUUGGAGAAGAGCAAUUUACUGAUCAGUGGUGUGAAAAUAAGUAAUUCAAAAUCUAAGCUAUUGGGCCAGGUGCAGUGGCUCACGCCUGUAACCCCAGCACUUUGGGAAACCAAGGCAGGUGGAUCAUUUGAGGUCAGGAGUUCGAGACCAGCCUGGCCAACAGGGUGAAACCCCGUCGCUACUAAAAAUACAAAAAAUUAGCCGGGCAUGGUGGCAUACGCCUGUGGCCCCAGCUACUUGGGAGGCUAGGGCACGAGAAACACUUAAGCCCAGGAGGCGGAAGUUGCAGUGAGCCAAGACUGCACCACUGCAUGCUAGCCUGGGCAAGAGAGCAAGACUCUGCCUCAAAAAAAAAAAAAAAAAGAAAAAAAUCUAAGCUGUUGGAACAUUAAAUUAUUUUGAGCUUUAAAGAAAUGUGUUUAUGAGACUUGAGUCAUGUGACAGGCAGCUGUAACCUAGGAAACUGUAAACAUUUUUUCUCUGAUUAUAGAUUAGCCUCCUUCCUUAUCUACAUAAUUUUGUAAAAUGUUGUAAAUGACUAAAGGGUACUUCCCUUUAGUCCCACUUCACUGCUGAUCUUCAUUGCAGAUUAACUUCCUUCCUACCUCUCUCACACAAAGCCUUCAUGACUGUUACAUUAUAUACUCUUUUAAAUUAGAAAAUAAAUGAAACCAAGCCACAAGGAAAAGAAAACAAAUUAACUAAUUGAAUUGUUUUAAUUCAUAAACCAGCUUUGUAUAAGAAAUAAUCCUGUUAAAUUUCUUUGUUUUCUUCCUUUAUAAACAAGACCUUAACUUUUGACAUCAGAGCACGGACCCCAUUUCACUGACCCCAUUUUCACGGAAUAAACGCCUUAAAAAAAUUUUUUUAAUAGAAACAGAGUCUCACUUUGAUGCCCAGUCUAGUCUUGAACUCCUGGCUUUAAGCAAUUCUCCUUCUUGGUCUGCCAAAGUGCUGGAAUUACUGGUGUGAGCCACUGUGCCCAGC
rnacentral:lncRNA from 1 species